rnacentral:rRNA from 1 species
GCAUCUAUAUACAACUUUCAGCAACGGAUCUCUUGGCUCUCGCAUCGAUGAAGAACGCAGCGAAAUGCGAUAAGUAAUGUGAAUUGCAGAAUUCAGUGAAUCAUCGAAUCUUUGAACGCACCUUGCGCACCUUGGUAUUCCGAGGAGCAUGCCUGUUUGAGUGUCAUGAA